rnacentral:lncRNA from 1 species
GUGAAGCUUAUGUGUAUUCGAAUUGCGAAAAUGGUAAGUGCUAAUUGAUCUCAACCCAAUCCAUCUGAUCACCUAAUGGAGUCUCUACAGCAGUCUCUACGCCUAGAAUGGAGAGCCGUCCCUCGCAGACAUUCUUGAAGUGAAGUAUCAAGAUUUCAAGUUCGCAUCUAAAUUAAUCAAAUCGUAUCAAAAUUGCGUCCUCGAAUCCUCCACAGGCCACAGGAGGAGGAGGAGGAUCUGACAGGGUAAACGAAUAGUGCUCGACUUUCGAUCGAAACUCUCUAAAUCAAUCAAGUGGAAAAUUGCAUUUCGGAAAGAAUAUAUUUCGUAAAUAAAAAGGAGAAUAUCAAAGUAUAGAAUCAUAUCUUGUUUUAUUUUGAUGUUGUCGUAUGAUGUUUUUAUCAGAGCAUUGGGAUUCCAGAAGAAAGUCUUGGAAGUGUUUUCAAUUGAAAUAAUUUGUUGUGUGAGUGAAAUGUCAAUCUGUCAGCAUAUGCUAUGUUAACAUGUUAACAGUAUGUCUGUGCUGUUAGGCGC